GCAAACUUGGUCAUUUAGAGGAAGUAAAAGUCGUAACAAGGUUUCCGUAGGUGAACCUGCGGAAGGAUCAUUAUGAUAAACAAACUCUUUUGCUCCGGCAGAAGUUUUAAACCCCAUGUGAACCAAAAAACCUUUUAGCUUCGGUAGCUUGCGGCCGGUCUCUUUCGGGAGCCGGUUGCCUGUCAGCCUGCCGGCAGCGCCAAACCAAACUUGUUUUAACCAAAUCUUUGUCUGAAAACCAUUCUUUGAAUGAAAAUCAAAACUUUCAACAACGGAUCUCUUGGUUCUCGCAUCGAUGAAGAACGCAGC
rnacentral:misc_RNA from 1 species